UAAAUACUCCCUAGUGACCGAUAGUGAACCAGUACCGUGAGGGAAAGGUGAAAAGCACCCCGGAAGGGGAGUGAAAUAGAACCUGAAACCGUGUGCCUACAACAAGUCAAAGCCCGUUAAUGGGUGAUGGCGUGCCUUUUGUAGAAUGAACCGGCGAGUUACGAUUGCAUGCGAGGUUAAGUUGAAGAGACGGAGCCGCAGCGAAAGCGAGUCUGAAUAGGGCGUUUGAGUAUGUAGUCGUAGACCCGAAACCAUGUGAUCUACCCAUGUCCAGGUUGAAGGUGCGGUAAAACGCACUGGAGGACCGAACCCACGUACGUUGAAAAGUGCGGGGAUGAGGUGUGGGUAGCGGAGAAAUUCCAAACGAACUUGGAGAUAGCUGGUUCUCUCCGAAAUAGCUUUAGGGCUAGCCUCGGAAUUGAGAAUGAUGGAGGUAGAGCACUGUUUGGACUAGGGGCCCAUCUCGGGUUACCGAAUUCAGAUAAACUCCGAAUGCCAUUCAUUCAUAUCCGGGAGUCAGACUGUGAGUGAUAAGAUCCAUAGUCGAAAGGGAAACAGCCCAGACCACCAGCUAAGGUCCCAAAAUAUAUGUUAAGUGGAAAAGGAUGUGGGGUUGCACAGACAACUAGGAUGUUGGCUUAGAAGCAGCCACCAUUUAAAGAGUGCGUAAUAGCUCACUAGUCGAGUGACCCUGCGCCGAAAAUGUACCGGGGCUAAACAUAUUACCGAAGCUGUGGAGUACACCUUUAGGUGUAUUGGUAGGAGAGCGUUCUAAGGGCGUUGAAGGCAGAUCGUGAGGACUGCUGGAGCGCUUAGAAGUGAGAAUGCCGGUAUGAGUAGCGAAAGACAGGUGAGAAUCCUGUCCACCGAAUGACUAAGGUUUCCUGGGGAAGGCUCGUCCGCCCAGGGUUAGUCGGGACCUAAGCCGAGGCCGACAGGCGUAGGCGAUGGACAACAGGUUGAUAUUCCUGUACUCGUUGUUUUUGUUUGAGCAAUGGAGGGACGCAGGAGGCUAAGGAAUGCAGACGAUUGGAAAUGUCUGUCUAAGCAGUAAGUCU
rnacentral:rRNA from 1 species